rnacentral:rRNA from 1 species
UACGAAGGGGGCUAGCGUUGUUCGGAAUCACUGGGCGUAAAGGGCGCGUAGGCGGCUUUAUAAGUCGGGGGUGAAAGCCUGUGGCUCAACCACAGAAUUGCCUUCGAUACUGUAGAGCUUGAGACCGGAAGAGGUAAGUGGAACUGCGAGUGUAGAGGUGAAAAUUCGUAGAUAUUCGCAAGAACACCAGUGGCGAAGGCGGCCAACUGGUCCGAUACUGACGCUGAGGCGCGAAAAGCGUGGGGGAGCAAACAGGG